AAUUAUUGAUAAAGAAGGAUUUCCAAUAUACAGAAGGCGAAGAACAGAUGACUUUGUUCAGAAGAAAGACUUUAAAUGCGAUAACCGUUAUGUCAUUCCUUAUAAUAGAUCCCUAUCAAUGAGAUACGGAGCUCACAUCAACGUGGAGUGGUGUAACCAUUCAGGUUCUGUGAAAUACAUAUUCA
rnacentral:sRNA from 1 species